rnacentral:rRNA from 1 species
CAGUAGCCGCGGUAAUACGAAGGUCCCGAGCGUUGUUCGGAAUCACUGGGCGUAAAGGGAGCGUAGGCGGCGUGUUAAGUCAGAUGUGAAAUCCCGGGGCUCAACCCCGGAACUGCAUCCGAUACUGCCAUGCUAGAGGAUUGGAGAGGUAGCUGGAAUUCUUGGUGUAGCAGUGAAAUGCGUGGAGAUCAAGAGGAACACUCGUGGCGAAAGCGAGCUACUGGACAAUAACUGACGCUGAGGCUCGAAGGCCAGGGUAGCGAAAGGGAUUAGAUACCCGAGUAGUCCCUGUCUCUUAUAA